GGCUGGGGGGUGGAGCUUGCAUGCCUUGUGCCAAUCAAAUCGGCCACGUUGCGUGGGGACUCGCCUUUGCUCAGCGCUUCCCAGCGGAGAGGUGACAGUGGUUUUCCUUGCUGCAUCCCCUUUGCCGGGUUGCUGCACUGUGGGAACCACCGCUUGAGGCUUCAUUUGGCUGCUGGCUGGGCUUUCUGCCUUUGGCUUGGAGGGGCUCAGAAGUUGAACAUACCUGUGCUUGGAAAAUCCCUUAUUUUGGCUGCUGAUCCCUUAUUUUUGAGGCUGCUGGUCCCUUAUUUUCAAAUCUGUAAGUUGACAGCUAUGGCCCCAAGUGUGGGGGCAAAGAGGCUACAUUUCAGGGGUUCAGGGGGGCAGAAAGGAGCUAUGGAACAGGGCAGAGGGUAAUUAUGGUGAUGAGAAAAUCCUGGUCCGUGGUUUAAUUCCCCACGCAGACUUGACCGUUCUUCCCGAGGGCAGAGAUUUCUCUUGGCCUGGACCCUUGGCUGCUGGAAGGAAAAAAGGCAGAUAAAUGGUCGCCAUGGUGACCAGGCCUUGGCCAAGCUCUGAGACAAUGGACCAGUGUGAAGGAGCCAUGGGGUGGGAUGCCUCCAGUGGCUCUGAGCCCAGAAGACCCCAGGAUCAUGUCAGUCUCCCGGAGACAAAAUGAAGCUGUCCUUCAGCAGCAAAGUGGCGUCAGGAACUCCUGACCCCACCGCCAUUUACAGAGUCCUGAAUUUUAGUUAUGAGUAAAUCUGGAGGCGGGUGCAAAGAGGAGAAACCAGUCAGUGAGCAGGGAGAGCUUUUUGGAGGAGGACGUUGGGAAACAGAGGGUAAACUUCAAUUUCUCACCAGACUUCAUAGAAGGCCAAAUAAAAGGAUCCUUUAGUUCUGUAUUUGUGCCAAUAAGUGCAGGGUUCGAAUGUUAGAAUUGUAGAGUUUCCAGGGAUGCGGGGCACAAUAUCAUGAUGGUGGAUUGGGAGAAAUUGUGGGAAAGGGGAAUCAAAUUUACAGCUUGUAAUGUAUUAAGAGAAAAAUUGAUGAAAAUGAUGUACAGAUGGUAUUUAACACCAGUGAAGUUAGCAAAAAUGUAUCAUACUCAUGAUAAUAAAUGCUGGAAAUGUAGAGAAAAAGAAGGAACCUUUUACCACAUGUGGUGGACGUGCCCCAAGGUAAAAGACUUCUGGGAAAGGAUUUAUAAUGAAUUGAAAAGAAGUGUUGAAAAACACAUUUACUAAAAAAACAGAAGCCUUUUUACUUGGUAUAGUGGGGGGUAAAAUCCCCAAAAAGGAUGUUAUUUUUUUUUCUGUAUGCCACAACAGCUGUGAGAAUAUUGUUAGCGAAGAAUUGGAAGAAACAAGAUUUACCAGCUAUCGAAGAAUGGCAGAUGAAGAUGAUGGACUAUAUGGAACAUGCCGAACUGACCGGGAGACUCUGAGACCAGAGAGAUGAGACAGUGGAAGAAGACUGGA